rfam:Planctomycetes bacterium SM23_25 WORSMTZ_2445, whole genome shotgun sequence.
CGCGGGGUGGAGCAGUCUGGUAGCUCGUCGGGCUCAUAACCCGAAGGUCGCAGGUUCGAAUCCUGCCCCCGCUA